UUCGUGUUUGAGGUCGGGAGUUCGAACCUUACCUCUUACAAAUAUUUUUGGAUCUCGUAUAUGCUUGAUAUACGGACGUAUAUACGGUAUGUACGGUAUACAUACGUAUAUACGGUCUGUACGGUAUGUAUACUUAUAUACAGUUGUACAGUAUGCAUACGUAUAUACGGUCUGUACGGUAUGCAUACGAAUAUACAGUUGUACGGUAUGCAUACGUAUAUACGAUCUGUACGGUAUGCAUACGUAUAUACGGUAUGUACAAUUUCAUACCGUAGCCGAGCUGGAAGUUGGUGGGCCGAUUGGUAGGCCCAAAUAGUAAGCCCAAAUAGUAAGCCCAAAUGGUAGGCCCAAAUGGUAAGCCCAAUUGUUCGGCCCGAAUGGUAGGCCCAAAUGUUAAACCCAAAUUGGUUCGAGCCGGUUCUAAAUGUGGAUGGUUCGGUUUCUUCGGCCCAAUUGGCCAGCCCUAAUGCUUAGCCCAAGGAUUGAGCAAGCCCAAGUCAUCAUCACUGGGUGACAUGUUUUAUUGGCGUGCUUUUGAGAAUGAUUUGUUUUGAGUGAUGCUAAUUGAGAAGCGAAACGCUUUGUGGGAGUGUUUACUGUGCUUGUAUGCCAGUACAGGAUGACGAUCUGUGUGAAAACAGCUAUAUGUGCAAUGCCACGUGGUGAUUUGAGUGUGGGUUGCUUGAGGCAAUUGUUGUGUUGUAAUUUUGAGAAAUGAUGCGGUGAAGGAAUGUCAUGUUGAUGACUUAAGUGGGGAUGAGGAUUUCAUUUGUGAAUUCUCGUUGUGUGAGUUUACGUUUGUGAUGAAAGGAUUUAGUGGCCAUAGGAAUGUAUUUUUAUACAAAGGGCUGUGGUUUUGUAGAUUACUACAGUUUUGGGAAAGAUGGAGAUUCGAUGGUUAGGUUAACUGUAAUCGAGAGCAAUUAACUUGCGCUUAAAUUUCGGGACGAAAUUUCUUUAAGGAGGGUAGAUUGUAAUAACCUAGUUUUUUUUAAUCAAACAAUUUGGUGGCAAACACCGGUUCCGUGAUUUAAGGUUAGUGGACAAUUGCAUAAUUUGAAGGCCGGUGCUUUAACAUGAUUAUGCAUGAGUGGAAGAACGAAUCAAUUAAGCUAAGAAACGAAUUCUCUCUCUCUCACGUCCGAAACCACCCAAAACAGAGCAAAACUUCUCCAAACUCUCUCUCACUCCACCGGCCACCAAUCAAGACCAGAACACUUCCUAUAGCUUCGCCUCGACCUUGCGCAGCUGCAGGUGGCAGCCUUGAACCACGACACGGCCACCAGCGGCGGCGGGAAGCUCCGCCCGGUUUGAGCUCGUUUUGGUUCCAAGCUUGAUAUCUCAAGCUACCGGCCAACAAUCCUCACCAAACUUCACCCACGAGCUCGCCUCAACGUCCUGAAGCUCCCAGAAGUGGCCUUGCACGGCGGCGCUACUCGUGGUGGCGGCUGGAAGCCAGACCCGAUCAAAUCGAAAACCGAAGCUUCGAUCGGUAUAUCUCGAGCUGUAGUGCAUCGUUUUGAUUGAUUCUUUUUCCAGUGGGUUCCCCUUGAUGUUGUUAACAACUCUCUAGAAGGCAUCGAGGCCUGAAAUUGAAUUUUUUACGUCGAUCGGAGCCCUCGCCGGAUUCUGCAAAAUUCUGCAAAUUUUCCGACCACCGAAGCUUUCGAUCGGUAUAUCUCGAGCUACAGACCAUAUUUUUCUGUGAUUCUUGAACCAAUGCGUUCGUCUUGAGUUUCUUAACAACUCUCUAGAAGGAAUCGAAGCCUGAAAUUGAAGUUUUGACGUCGAAAUCAAGCCUUGCCGGAUUCUGCAAAUUUCGCCGGAUUCUGGAAAUUUUCCGGCCACCUCGACUGUUCUAGGUUAUUGACGGUUUGAGUUGGUGGACGAUUGUGGAUCGUAUUUUGAGCUGAAUUGAAGACGCAGCGGGAUUAUCGAGCGGGAAAUCCUACAGGUCAGGAGAACCAGGACGGUGAUCGGGCUGCUUAGAGUAGUGUUAUGUGAAUUACAGCAUUAUAUUGUGAGGUUUGUUAUGCUCAUUUAGAGCUUUGCAAUUUUACUUUGUAAGAGUGAAUUGUAAUAAUUAACUCGAGGUUUUCGAGUUUUUGUGUUGAGUGGCGAGUGGUAUGUUUGUUUGUGAGAAAAAAAUUCAGAACGUUAUUUGUAUUAAUU